AACGAACGCUGGCGGCGCGUUUUAAGCAUGCAAGUCGAGCGGCAAGGGCCUUCGGGUCCCUAGAGCGGCGGACGGGUGAGUAACACGUGGACAAUCUACCCCCCGGACCGGGAUAGCCCAGGGAAACCUGGAUUAAUACCGGAUGAGACGAGAGAGGCGAAGGCCUGUUUCGGGAAAGGCGCUACGGCGCCGGCGGGGGAUGAGUCUGCGUCCCAUUAGCUAGGCGGCGGGGUAACGGCCCACCGUGGCGACGAUGGGUAGCCGGCCUGAGAGGGUGGACGGCCACAUUGGAACUGAGACACGGUCCAGACUCCUACGGGAGGCAGCAGCUAAGAAUCUUCCGCAAUGGGCGAAAGCCUGACGGAGCGACGCCGCGUGAACGAAGAAGGCCGUGAGGUUGUAAAGUUCUUUUCGGGAGGGGGAACAACCGUGGCAGGGAAUGGCCGCGGGAUGACGUGAAUCCCGGAAUAAGCCCCGGCUAACUACGUGCCAGCAGCCGCGGUAACACGUAGGGGGCGAGCGUUGUUCGGAAUCAUUGGGCGUAAAGGGCGAGCAGGCGGUCCUGCAAGUCCGGCGUGAAAGACCCCGGCCCAACCGGGGGGACGCGCUGGAAACUGCGGGGCUUGAGUACAGGAGGGGAUGCCGGAAUUCCAGGUGUAGGGGUGAAAUCUGUAGAUAUCUGGAAGAACACCAAUGGCGAAGGCAGGCAUCUGGCCAUGUACUGACGCUGAGACGCGAAGGUGCGGGGAGCAAACA
rnacentral:rRNA from 1 species